UUUCUGAAUACGCGAGCGAAGCGCGCGCGAAAUUUUAAUUAUUUUUUAAGACUUAAAACCAAAAAGUACGUAAAAUGUAGCCCAAACAUACAUUUUCACGAAUGGGGGGACUAGGUACGACACACCCGAUUUACGUCCAUACGAAAACCCCCUCGCUCGCAUAGAUAAGUCGAUAAAAAUAAAGUUAGAUAACGUAUAGCAACGUCGCGCAGCUAAGCUUCGCGGACCACUUGGAAUGCCUCCAGGGACCACCAGUGAUCCGCGGACCACCGGUUAAGAACCACUGUGCUAAACGAUCGUUCUUUUGUACAGGACAUCAGUGGUAACUGUCAUGCACCUUAACUCAAUAGUAAUAAGAACGAUUUUCCUAUAAAACUGUUACCACUGACCUGAAGUUGACUGUACAUGGCUGGGCAAGCAAAAUAGCGAGCGCGGUUUUUACACUAGGAUAAAAUUGCAUUUCCGAAAUUUUUAAUUACAUCUACCAGUUCCAUCUCCUUCAAUGCAUUAUUUUUUUGAUUAGAUGGACGGCUCGGCUCGCUACGCUA